rnacentral:tRNA from 1 species
CCCGCGGUAACUCAGUUGGUAGAGUGGUCGGCUGUAGACCGACAUGUCGGGAGUUCGAAUCUCCCCCGCGGGA